GCAGAGCAUCCUACGGGAGGCAGCAGUGGGGAAUAUUGCACAAUGGGCGCAAGCCUGAUGCAGCCAUGCCGCGUGUAUGAAGAAGGCCUUCGGGUUGUAAAGUACUUUCAGCAGUGAGGAAGGUGGGUAUGUUAAUAGCAUACUCAUUUGACGUUAGCUGCAGAAGAAGCACCGGCUAACUCCGUGCCAGCAGCCGCGGUAAUACGGAGGGUGCGAGCGUUAAUCGGAAUUACUGGGCGUAAAGCGCAUGCAGGUGGUUGUUAAGUCAGAUGUGAAAGCCCGGGGCUCAACCUCGGAAUUGCAUUUGAAACUGGCAAACUAGAGUACUGUAGAGGGGGUAGAAUUUCAGGUGUAGCGGUGAAAAUGCGUAGAGAUCUGAAGGAAUACCGGUGGCGAAGGCGGCCCCCUGGACAGAUACUGACACUCAGAUGCGAAAGCGUGGGGAGCAAACAGGAUUAGAUACCCCGUCG
rnacentral:rRNA from 1 species